AGGCCGGACAUUUCUAGUCGACUGUUGCGCGUGCGCGCGCUGUGACGUUCCCUACGCGGUCGGGCGUUGGGUUUCGCGGCGCUCGCCGCACUGGUUGUUCAGCACCUUCGGUCCGGUUGAGGUUGUCAAGUCGGACCAAACAGGUUGUUUCUCUGCAGUUUCCAACAUGGCAGGGAGGUUUAAUAGACAUGGAUAAGAAGUCCACUCACAGAAAUCCUGAAGAUGCCAGGGCUGGCAAAUAUGAAGAUGAUCCUAUGUUUCCUUCUUCCUCAUCAUCGUCUUCAGGAAGCCAGACAGAUUCAAGUAUUGAAGAUGCUGCCAAGGGAAAAAUUAAGAAGAAGAGAAGAGAGAAAACAAAUAAAUGGGAAAAAAGAAAGGACAAAAUAUGAAACACCAAGAAAAAGAGAAGGAAAAAAAGGAGGAAACAACCACAUAUGUCACCUUUCCAAGAGGGACUGAAACUGGGCUGACCCUUUUGAUUUCCAAGCUCAGCGUUUUGGUGUAAGGCGGCCAAAGAAGGAUGCGGAGCCCAGCACUGUGAAGCCUACAAAAACAUUGAUGCGCUGGCUUGGGGAUUUGAAUUUGAACAUCUUUCACACUAAGUUCAGACUCAUGAAACCAAUCUUCAGAUGCUCUGUAAACCACAUAAUAAAGAGUUUGGAAAUUAUAUUUUGUUUUUGAAGGCCCACGUGCAAAACUUGAGAGCCUCAAGUCCAAGCCAGUUGUGGCAAUUCUAGCCUACUUUUUUUUUAUAUUCAAGUGUGUUGUAGGGAAGGAGGAGAAUAAGUCUGCUUUCUUGAAUAUUAUGCCUAAUUAAUUACGUAUAAAAUACUUUUACCAAAGUUCUAUGCAAGGUAGAAGACUUACAGAUGGCAUGAAAAAGAUAAAGUCUUUUCCAUGUUUUUUUUUUUUUUUUUUUUUUUUUUUGAGACAGAGUUUCACUCUGGUCGCCCAGGCUGGAGUGCAGUGGGCCAGUGUCGCCUCACGGCAACCUCCGCCUCCCAGGUUCAAGUGCUUCUCCUGCCUCAGCCUCCUGAGUAUCUGGGACUACAGGUCCAUGCCACCACACCCAGCUGAUUUUGUAUUUCUAGUAGAGACAUGGUUUCGCUAUUUUGUCCAGGCUGCUCUCGAACUCCUGACCUCAGGUUAUCUGUUCCCCACGGCAUCCCAAAGUGCUGGGAUUACAGGCGUGAACUACCGUGCUUGGCCUCUGUGUACUUCUUUUUUGUUGUUAUUGUUUUUGAGAUGGAGUUUCACUCUUGUCAUACAGGCUGGAGUGCAGUGGCGCCAUCUCAGCUCACUGCAACCUCUGUCUCCUGGGUUCAAGCGAUUCUCAUGCCUCAGCCUCCCAAGUAGCUGGGAUUACAGGUGUGCACCACCACGCCCAGCUAAUUUUUGUAUUUUUAGUAAAGACAGGGUUUCACCAUGUUGGCCAGGCUGGUCUCGAACUCCUAACCUCAGGUGAUCUACCCACUUCAGUCUCCCAAAGCGCUGGGAUUACAGGUGUGAGCCACCGUACCUGGCCCAUGUACUUCUUACUUAGUUUUUCUUCCCGCGUCUUAUGUUUACAUUUGCAAUUAUGUCUUCUUCUUUCAACAAAUAUUACAGGUUUUCAUAAUCUCAAAUAUUUGUUUUUAGAGCAUGAUGUAAUGUUCCUUUGCAUUAGGUACACUGAUUGUGGGUUUCCAACAAAAAGUUUUCAGGUCUAAAAAUGAUCACAUCAUGCAGUAUACCCAGGAAUCAAACCUGCACAUCUAUCCCCUAAGUCUAAAAAUGAAAGUUGAAAAAAAUAAAAAUUAUAUAAGAAAAAA
ensembl:lncRNA LINC00467 long intergenic non-protein coding RNA 467